GAUGAACGCUGGCGGCGUGCCUAAUACAUGCAAGUCGAGCGAACAGACGAGGAGCUUGCUCCGCUGACGUGAGCGGCGGACGGGUGAGUAACACGUGGAUAACCUACCUAUAAGACUGGGAUAACUUCGGGAAACCGGAGCUAAUACCGGAUAAGAUAUUGAACCGCAUGGUUCAAUAGUGAAAGACGGUUUUGCUGUCACUUAUAGAUGGAUCCGCGCCGCAUUAGCUAGUUGGUAAGGUAACGGCUUACCAAGGCAACGAUGCGUAGACGAACUGAGAGGGUGAUCGGCCACACUGGAACUGAGACACGGUCCAGACUCCUACGGGAGGCAGCAGUAGGGAAUGUUACGCAAUGGGCGAAAGCCUGACGGAGCAACGCCGAGUGAGUGAUGAAGGUCUUCGGAUCGUAAAACUCUCUUAUUAGGGAAGAACAAAUGUGUAAGUAACUAUGCACGUCUUGACGGUACUUAAUCAGAAAGCAACGGCUAACUACGUG
rnacentral:rRNA from 1 species